GGGCGAGCCUCUGGAGGUUUUUUUCUCCAGCAUCCCAGCUCUCAGCAGGUGCCAGCCACCCCAGCACCCCACAGCCUCACCCCCAAGGGUGCCGCAGCAGCUGCAGACCCCAUCGCGGAGGGGGAGCCGAGGUGGUGUGGCCGUGGGGGCCGUGGAGACGCUGCUGGGUGGUGGCCGUUGCACAAAGGCCUUUCUGUCUGCGGCACCCCGGCUGUCCCCCGUCCCAGUUUUCGUCCCAGUUUUCUCAUUCCUGGGCCGGUGAAGGGGCUCUUUGUGCGCCGCCGGCGGUGGCUGGCUCCCGACACGGGGUCUCGCGCUGCAUUUUUCGCGCUGGUGGCAGCCAGGGCACGGAGGACCUGCUCACGUGCCUGCAUCCUGCUGCCAGGGCUGGCACCGCUCGGCGGGGAGGGACACCCGUGUCCCCAGCCCGUGACGGGGCCGUGGUGCUCGGGGACACGUCCCAUGGCACGGUCAUGCUCUGGGCAGCCUGGGUGCCUUGGCUGGGCGCAGGGGACACCGCGGCUGUGGGAUGCUGACCGAGGAUGCUCCCUGCCCCACCACGGUGCCCUCACACCUGUGUCUGCACGCAGGGAAGGCUCAGCUCAAUGGGAGCGGAGCGGGAAUGAUUCAGUGCCCGCAUUAAGCAGAUUUACGAGGUUAUUUCCCCAACGAAGGCGGCGUGUGUCACGCCGGCCUGGCCCAGGCUGUAUUAUCGCGGCGCUGCCAAACCUCAGCCCUUCCACUGAAACGGCUUCAAAGGGCAAUAAAACAAGGAUAAACACCGCCGCCCCGGCUCCGGGGCCACGGGGUUGUUUCUCCUCUCGCCCGUGUUUCCACCUCCCCUCCGUGACCUCGGUGGGAUCAGUGGGCCACCUCCCCAGCCCUCAGCCUGGCUCCGCGGAACGAGCCCGUGCUUGGGCUUAAACCAGCAGAAAAAGGGUCCAGGGAUGUUCCUGCCCGCACUUUGUUUUCAAGCUCCGGAGGAGGUUGCAACCUUCCAAGAAAUGCGUCCCUGGGAGCCUGCCCAGUGGGCGAGAGGACAGCCCCGGAACAUCACAGCGAGGAGGGAAGAUGGAAAACAAGCGAGGAACAGGGAAAAAAAAAAAAAGGGGAAAAAACAAUAUAUAUGUAUAAACACGGCGGGCAGCAGCGCCAGCACUUCGUGCUCUGGUCUUGAUUUGUUGUUGUUGUUUUUAAUCUCUGAUUUGGGAACUGGCUGCUAUUUAUAGCCCUCCCCUUUCCCCGCAGCGCCGCUGAUCCCUUCCAGAUGCUGGAGCCUGCCCCGCGCUGGG
rnacentral:lncRNA from 1 species